UCUAAUAUGGCAGAUUAGUGCAAUGAAUUUAAGAUUCAUUUAUGAAUUAAUAUUCUUUUAGAA
rnacentral:tRNA from 1 species